rnacentral:tRNA from 1 species
GCCGGUUUAGCUCAGUGGGAGAGCGCCGUUCCUUCUGGCGGAGGUCGGAGGUUCAAAUCCUCUCAACCGGCACCA